rnacentral:rRNA from 1 species
AUUGAACGCUGGCGGCAGGCCUAACACAUGCAAGUCGAGCGGAUGAAGGGAGCUUGCUCCUGGUUUCAGCGGCGGACGGGUGAGUAAUGCCUAUGAAUCUGCCUGGUAGUGGGGGAUAACGUCCGGAAACGGGCGCUAAUACCGCAUACGUCCUGAGGGAGAAAGUGGGGGAUCUUCGGACCUCACGCUAUCAGAUGAGCCUAGGUCGGAUUAGCUAGUUGGUGGGGUAAAGGCCUACCAAGGCGACGAUCCGUAACUGGUCUGAGAGGAUGAUCAGUCACACUGGAACUGAGACACGGUCCAGACUACUACGGGAGGCAGCAGUGGGGAAUAUUGGACAAUGGGCGAAAGCCUGAUACAGCAAUGCCGCGUGUGUGAAGAAGGUCUUCGGAUUGUAAAGCACUUUAAGUUGGGAGGAAGGGCAGUAAGUUAAUACCUUGCUGUUUUGACGUUACCAACAGAAUAAGCACCGGCUAACUUCGUG